GACGUAGGUGGCGAACGUUAUCCGGAAUUACUGGGCGUAAAGCGCGCGUAGGCGGCUUUGUAAGUUAGAGGUGAAAGCCCGGAGCUCAACUCCGGAACUGCCUUUAAAACUGCAUCGCUUGAAUCCAGGAGAGGUGAGUGGAAUUCCGAGUGUAGAGGUGAAAUUCGUAGAUAUUCGGAAGAACACCAGUGGCGAAGGCGGCUCACUGGACUGGUAUUGACGCUGAGGUGCGAAAGCGUGGGGAGCAAACAGG
rnacentral:rRNA from 1 species